GUUUCGUGUUUUAUUUUCUAGAAGUUCCGCUUCUGCAUAUGUAAUAACAGAAUCCUUUGUGGGUACAAUACAAUAGACAUGUGUGUAGGGUUAUUUUAGUUUAUUUGUUUUGGUAGCGAGUCAGAUAACCAGCGAAAAAGAAUAUAGAAAAGAAAACAUGCCGAAUGCUCCUGGAUAUGAAUGGUACUUACAUGUAAAAAAAGUUGCAUAGAAAUCAUAAUGGGCCAGAUGAGGCUUAGAAAAGCAGCAUAACCCUGCUGUUCAACAUCUGCCAAGGAUCUGGACCUAUAUUUUGCCUGUACUGUCAGAGGCUUCAGGAAACCUAAUAAUGUUCACAGAAAUGAUAACUUCAGGAGAGCCUGUGGGAGAGGAUGAAUUCUGCUGCAGCCUUUCUACAUCAAAAAAAGAUCCUUUUCAGCACAAGAUCCUAAUGCUACUACUGAAGUGCAAAAGUGUCCUGGCAUCUCUGAACAAAUAGAAAAUGUCCCAGCAAUCCAAAUUCCCCCGAGGCACCGAAGUUUGGGGAAGGACGUUUGCUGUGCAGGCGCCCCGUUUGUGAGCGCUGGAGCGGCUGGCUCAGUGUCCCACAGGACACCUCCGCUGUUCUUAUAUCAUCACUGUGGAUGCUUCUUACUUCAGAGAACAAGAGAAAGGAAAUGUUUUGUUCUGCAGAUUUGUUUCUUUAUUUUGAUAUUUAAAUUAAAAUGUUGAAUUUUAUUGUGUGCUUUAUAUCUUCUUUUAAACCCUUCUGAAAUAAAGAGUGUAUUGCUCACUCUGAAUGAGUAAAA
rnacentral:lncRNA from 1 species